rnacentral:tRNA from 1 species
AGGUAUGGCUUAGUGGCAGAGUGCAUGCUUAGCAUGCUUGAAGUCCUGGGUUCAAUCCCCAGCACCU